rnacentral:rRNA from 1 species
UACGAAGGGGGCUAGCGUUGUUCGGAAUUACUGGGCGUAAAGCGCACGUAGGCGGAUACUUAAGUUAGGGGUGAAAUCCCAGAGCUCAACUCUGGAACUGCCUUUAAUACUGGGUAUCUCGAGUCCGGAAGAGGUGAGUGGAAUUCCGAGUGUAGAGGUGAAAUUCGUAGAUAUUCGGAGGAACACCAGUGGCGAAGGCGGCUCACUGGUCCGGUACUGACGCUGAGGUGCGAAAGCGUGGGGAGCAAACAGG